GUGUAGGGAAAGGAUAGGGAGGCAUCAUCUACACUACAAAAGGAGAACAGGGUGCAAUAGGAGAGUGUACAGCCUGGGUAAUAGGAGCGAUUCUAUUACACCUUUCUGCACUAAUUGGUGAUCCAAAUUGGUGUUAUACUGCUGCAAGUAUAUAGUAGCUCAGUAAU